rnacentral:lncRNA from 1 species
UUGGCCGGGUGCGGUGACUCACGCCUGUAAUCCCAGCACUUUCGGAGGCUGAGACGGGCAGAUCAAGAUGUCAGGAGAUCGAGACCAUCCUGGCUAACACAGUGAAACCCUGUCUCUACUAAAAAUACAAAAAAUUAGCCGGGCGUGGUGGCGGACACCUGUAGUCGCAGCUACUCAGGAGGCUGAGGCAGGAGAAUGGCGUGAACCAGGGAGGCGGAGCUUGCGGUGAGCCGAGAUUGCACCACUGCACUCCAGCCUGGGUGAUAGAGCGAGAUUCCACCUCAAAAAAAAAAAAAAACACCAACAAAACGUGUUGUUUAUGUUAACAUACAGUGAGUUUAUUGUAGUUACUAUUGACUUGAUAAAUAUAUUUAGAUAAAUAUUUUUAAAUAUUCUCCAAUUUCUUUUGAAUUUGGUAAGUAUCAAUAACCAUUACCUACAUAAACAGAAGCUCUUGGGGUCCUGAAUGACUUUUAAAAAUCUUUAAUUCUAGCCGGGUGCGGUGGCUCACGCCUGUAAUCCCAGCACGUUGGGAGGCUGAGGUGGGCAGAUCACCUGAGGUCAGGAGUUCGAGACCAGCCUGGCCAACAUGGUGUAAUUUCUACUAAAAUUACAAAAUUAGCCGGGCGUGGUGGUGGACGCCUGUAAUACCAGCUACUCGGGAGGCCGAGGCAGGAGAGUCACUUGAACCUGGGAGGUGGAGGUUGUAGUGAGCCAAGAUCACGCCACUGCACUCCAGCCUGUGCAAAAAGCGUGAAACUCUGUCUCAAAACAAAUAAAAAUAAAAAAUAAAUAAAAUGUUUAAUGCUUAUGGGUACAUAAUUAUCUGUGUCUAUGGGGAACACGUGACGUGUUGAUCACACCAGGGUAAUUGGGGCCACUGUCACCUCGAGCCUUUAUCAUUUCCUUGUAUUAGGAGCAUUCCAGUCCACUUUUCAGUUAUUUAAAAAUAUGCAAUAAAUUCUUGUUAACAAUAGUCACCCUAUUGUGCUACCAAAUAUCUGAUCUUAUUCCUUCCAUGUAAUUAUGUUUGUACCUAUUAACCAUCCCCUCACCACCCCCCUACUCCCCACCGCCCUUCCCAGCCUCUGGGAAUAUCUCCAUCAUUCUAGUCUCCAUCUCCGUAAGUUCCACUGUUUUCCAGCUCCCACAUAUGAACUGAAUGAUCUCUAAGACUGGGAAAGAGCCCUGAGACCCCACAAGAACAGUUGCUCUGGGGCCACAGGGAGCGGCUGCAGGUUGCAGGGCAGAGCUGGAGACAAGGCCAUGGCUCAUGAAGAUGCCGACCUGGAGGCAGAGGCAGAGGACGUUGGGUGCCGCUGGGGCCAUGCAGAGCCAGGACCAUGGCUCUGGGAGACGGAGGUGGACAAGGCCAGGAGAUACUGAGCAGGCGGCCACAUGAUCCACAAGGGGCGGCAGAUGUGUUGCGACAGAAGCAGGGCCCCACGAUCCAGAGCCUCAUGGGGGAAGAAGUAAGAAAAGAAGGGUCAGCAGUGGGCAGAGACAGCGAGGGGCUGGCAGGAGGGCAGAGUGCACCCUCUGGAGGAGACCAGGCUCUGCCCAUUGGGCCACUCAAAGUCAUGGGUAGGGAGCGCAUCUUCCAGUGCCCAGGGUCUUGCUGUGAAAGUAAGUGGGGUCCAACUGAAGCCCUCUAACUCCAGGAGCUCACGCCAAGCCCCGUCCACUGACCAUGUCCACGCCUCACCCGUGUGCCCCCCGACCACAUCCAUGCAUUACCCAUGUGCCCCUCUGACCACAUCUGUGCCCCAUGGGGCCAGAAAACAGCUGCUGAUGCCCCAAAGCCCAGAGAAGUUCCUUGUGGCUUCAUUUUCCCUCGUCCCUAGGAGGCUGGAAGUCCUCAUUUUGGACAAUUGCAUUUUUAAAACUUUAAAUUAUUACAAGUAAUAUACUCACUGUAAAGAAGACAGAUGGAAAAACCCAGAUAAACAUAAACAGUCAAACACCCCAAACCACCCAGAAUGCUUGCCUUGCCCCAGUCGUGCUCCCUGACACGUGUGUGCAUGUACGUGAGCAUGGUGCAUAUGUGUGCAGGUCAUGGAUGUUCGUGUGCAUCUUUGCACUCUCUUCCGCCCCUGCUUCUUCCUUUACUGCCUAAGGCCCAUGUCAUGGGGACAGGAAUUUUGGCAUUUGACCUGGAAGCAUUUGCCCCACCUGGGCUUGGAGAGAGUUCUGGGCAGGCCCUCAAAGUUUGCAGGAGCCUCCAGAGGGCCUGAACAUAGCUUAGAUGCUGAGUGCAUUGCACACGCACCUAGAGCCAUACACACAAGCUCCAGGCCAUUGGCCCCGAGGCUGACCUCCCUCCCAGAAGGUGACGUCAACAACGCUGACUGUUGGGGCCACACACUGGAAACGGGCACGAGGGGGGCCACGCGCUGGACACGGGCACGAGGGGGGCCACGCGCUGGACACGGGCACGAGGGGGGCGGGCCCAGAUCAUGGGCACGAAGAGGGCCACAUGCUGGACAUCGGCACGAUGGGGCCAUGUGCUGGACACAGGCACAAUGGCAACCACGUGCUGGACAUGGGCACGAUGGGGGCAGGCCCAGAUCAUGGGCACAAUGGGGGUGAGCCCAGAUGGAAAGAAUGCCAGGCAUGGGCAUGUGGCGACCCCAGCCCUGGACGUGACACGCUCUCCCCACAAGGAAAGAGACGCACAGGCCUCGCUGGGCGGAGUUGUCCAAGUGCCAGACACACGUGUCCCGGCAGCUGGCACUGGCUUGGCACAGACCCGGCUCCCGGGGUCUGGCUUCUACAUGUGGAGCGGCAGGCACAGAUGCCAGCUCUGCACAGCAGCUGUGAGGGGAGGCCUGGCUGCCGCCUUCUGGGACCUAUGGCGGGGACGCUUUNNNNNNNNNNGACCUAUGGCGGGGACGCUUUUCCUGGAGCCUGGAAACCUUUCCAGAUCCUCCCUCCUCCCGCCACACUCCUCCUCCUCAGGCCCUCCCUCCUCCCUCUGCUUUCUCCAGCAGUCCCGAGCCCCACAGGGUCCUCUCAUCACUUAGCGCCAGGCCCGAGGCACCACCUGCACAAUCAGAGCAGUGGCCUCUCCCCAUGGCUUGUGCCAAAUCAGGGCAGACACAGCAUUGUCUGGGUGUGUGGGCCGGGGUCCUGUUGGCUGCAUUGUUCCCAGGGUCUCCAAGCCUCCAUUUAGACCCCAGAGAGUGAGCCAGCUGGUGCCACCAGCGGGAGGGACCCAGAGUUUCUGAGAAACCCAGAGGCUGGAGGCCCGUGUCCGAGCUGCAACAGCUCCCAAGGGAGAGAACCCUGGGACAUGGUGAGGCCCCACGUGAGCCAGGGAAGGCCUGGCCUCGAACAGCAGAAAACACAGAAGCGCCCGCCUAAUGGAGUUCCCGCAAAGUCGCGCUGUAUUCCAGCAGACGGGCCCACCAGCCCAAGGAAGUCACACGUGCGCCCCUCUGCGCUUGGCCCUGUUGGGUUUAUGCACCUCCUCCCAGAUGUCCUGCGGCUGGCACAGAUCUCUGGUGCGGGCAUCGCCUGGCUCUGCAGGAGGGCGGAGGAGGGGUGCCGGGGAGCAUGUGGCAUGUCUGGGUGUAGUGGUGGCAUUUUAGGAACCAGAGUCCAGGGCCCGGGCGGGACAGAUUUGGGGGUGUUUCGGGAGCAAGGUGGAUUCAUCCAUCCACACUGCCUCACCAAAAACAGAGGGUGCAUGAGGUGAGGACGAAGAUGGAAACGGGGAGAAAAUGGGGGGUGAGGGUGAGCCCGCAAGUAGGCAGGCCUUGAACCAUCUCACCACAGAACGUCCUCAGGGUGCCCCGGCCACGGGUCCAGGAGGAGCCACCUCCAGGGGAGGCUGGCUUUCCACAGGCCCUAGGUUCCUGGGGCUGGGAACCCAGACGACGGGACUGAGCCACUGAGGGGGACAGAAUCCAUUUGGUGGAGUGACAUGAAGCCCUGGAGAUAAAACCUGGUGGCUUUUUAAAAAUAACAUAAAAUAACGUAAAAAAUACACAUAACAUAAAAAUGACACUAGGGAGGAGAAAAACCAUACAGCCAUCUUGUAUACAAGGGGGUCACAUUCCCAGACCCCCAGGGAUGCCUGAACCCCACAUAUCCGAUGUGUCUUUGAUCUGACAGCAGAGGCAGCUCCUGGAGGACUCACGGGUGCGGAGCGUCCACAGCGUGGACUCGCUGGACAAACGGAGGAUCCCGUCCUGGGCGGAAAGGGCGGGAGGUGUCAGAGUUCAUCAAGCCGUGCAGAAUUUAAAGCUUAUGAAUUGUUUAGUUUUAGAAUUUUCCAUUUAAUAUUUUUGGAGCUCAGUUGACCAUGGAUAACUGAAACUGCAGAAAAAGGGAAACCCUCGGCCCGGCGCAGUGGCUCACGCCUGUCAUCGCAGCACUGUGGGAGGCUGAGGCAGGCAGAUCACCUGAGGUCAGGAGUUUGAAACCCGCCUAGCCAACGUGGAGAAACCCUGUCUCUACUAAAAGUAAAAAAAAAUUAGCUGGGCGUGGUGGUGCAUGCCUGUGAUCCCAGCUACUCGGGAGGCUGAGGCAGGAAAAUCACUUGAACCUGGGAGGCCAAGAUUGCA